CACACUGGAACUGAGACACGGUCCAGACUCCUACGGGAGGCAGCAGUGGGGAAUUUUGGACAAUGGGCGCAAGCCUGAUCCAGCAAUGCCGCGUGAGUGAAGAAGGCCUUCGGGUUGUAAAGCUCUUUUGUCAGGGAAGAAACGGUGAGGGCUAAUAUCCCUUGCUAAUGACGGUACCUGAAGAAUAAGCACCGGCUAACUACGUGCCAGCAGCCGCGGUAAUACGUAGGGUGCAAGCGUUAAUCGGAAUUACUGGGCGUAAAGCGUGCGCAGGCGGUUUUGUAAGUCUGUCGUGAAAUCCCCGGGCUCAACCUGGGAAUUGCGAUGGAGACUGCAAGGCUAGAAUCUGGCAGAGGGGGGUAGAAUUCCACGUGUAGCAGUGAAAUGCGUAGAGAUGUGGAGGAACACCGAUGGCGAAGGCAGCCCCCUGGGUCAAGAUUGACGCUCAUGCACGAAAGCGUGGGGAGCAAACAGGAUUAGAUACCCUGGUAGUCCACGCCCUAAACGAUGUCUACUAGUUGUCGGGUCUUAAUUGACUUGGUAACGCAGCUAACGCGUGAAGUAGACCGCCUGGGGAGUACGGUCGCAAGAUUAAAACUCAAAGGAAUUGACGGGGACCC
rnacentral:rRNA from 1 species